rnacentral:rRNA from 1 species
UGAACGCUGGCGGCAGGCCUAACACAUGCAAGUCGAACGGUAACAGGAAGCAGCUUGCUGCUUUGCUGCCGAGUGGCGGACGGGUGAGUAAUGUCUGGGAAACUGCCUGAUGGAGGGGGAUAACUACUGGAAACGGUAGCUAAUACCGCAUAACGUCGCAAGACCAAAGAGGGGGACCUUCGGGCCUCUUGCCAUCGGAUGUGCCCAGAUGGGAUUAGCUAGUAGGUGGGGUAACGGCUCACCUAGGCGACGAUCCCUAGCUGGUCUGAGAGGAUGACCAGCCACACUGGAACUGAGACACGGUCCAGACUCCUACGGGAGGCAGCAGUGGGGAAUAUUGCACGAUGGGCGCAAGCCUGAUGCAGCCAUGCCGCGUGUAUGAAGAAGGCCUUCGGGUUGUAAAGUACUUUCAGCGGGGAGGAAGGGAGUAAAGUUAAUACCUUUGCUCAUUGACGUUACCCGCAGAAGAAGCACCGGCUAACUCCGUG